GAUCCCCUAUUUUCUGGUUGGAAUACCAAUGAUUCUUUCAACACAGUCUGGGUCCCUAAGAUAGCCACUGACUCAUCCAUGUAUUCCCUCAUUACUCUUUCCAACUAGUCCCAACCUCACCUCUACUUGUCCGUUGGACCACCUGAGUAGUGGUCUCCUCUCCCAGACCUCCCUGAGCAUGCUCAAUGGUAUGUAACUCCAGCUCUUCGUGAACUUUGCUAAGAUCUCCUGGCCCACAAAAAUGUGCCUGUCUUUAUCCUGACAUUACACCCAAUCAGGUCCCUUCAUACCCUGCAAUGGUCAAUCCAGAAGAGUUGUCAGUAUUGGAAAAGCACCGUGUUUCCUGGCCCCGUGCCUUUGGCCUUGCAGUUUGCAUCUUCUGGAUCAUUCUUGAGUUUCUUCCAAGGCGCAUGCAGAGACCACAUCCUCCAUGAAGCCCUCCCCAGUCCAUCAAUGCUGGGACCUCUCCCCCCACAGAACCACCACAGCACUUUAUUUCUCCCUUUCUCACGGCACUUACCAUAUUCUGCCUUGUAUUAUAGCUACUUGUGCACUUGUCCUAUGUCUGUUCGUAGACUGUAACCCUGCCAAGGGCAGGCACUGUUUUAUUCAUCUGUAUCCAUCACAGCAUUAGGCGUGGUGCAUAGCACACAACAGUUGCUCAAUAAAUGUUUGUUGGAUC
rnacentral:lncRNA from 1 species